ACGCUCGACACCUACGGAAGGCAGCAGUAGGGAAUCUUCCGCAAUGGACGAAAGUCUGACGGAGCAACGCCGCGUGAACGAUGAAGGUUUUCGGAUCGUAAAGUUCUGUUGUUAGGGAAGAACAAACUUCGUUUGAAUAAGGCGGAGUCAUGACGGUACCUAACGAGAAAGCCACGGCUAACUACGUGUCAGCAGCCGCGGUAAUCUGAGCGGGCUGGCAAGGC
rnacentral:rRNA from 1 species